AACGUAGGUUCCGAGCGUUAUCCGGAUUUACUGGGCGUAAAGCGCGUUCAGGCGGUUUGGCAAGUCGGGCAUGAAAUCUCUCGGCUCAACCGGGAGAGGUUGUCCGAUACUGCUGGACUUGAGGGCAGUAGAGGGUGGUGGAAUUCCGGGUGUAGUGGUGAAAUGCGUAGAUAUCCGGAGGAACACCAGUGGCGAAAGCGGCCGCCUGGACUGUACCUGACGCUGACACGCGAAAGCUAGGGGAGCGAACGGG
rnacentral:rRNA from 1 species